rfam:Aedes aegypti strain Liverpool supercont1.342 genomic scaffold, whole genome shotgun sequence.
UGCCCAGCAACUCCUAUCCCUACCUCCUCGCGGAACUGGCCGGGGUACGAGUAACCUUAGGGAAGAUCGGGUAACCAGCCCCCGGUGGGAACUUUGGUCGUAUGCUGACAGGGAAGG